rnacentral:rRNA from 1 species
CGUGCUAUACAUGCAGUCGAGCGAAUGGAUUAAGAGCUUGCUCUUAUGAAGUUAGCGGCGGACGGGUGAGUAACACGUGGGUAACCUGCCCAUAAGACUGGGAUAACUCCGGGAAACCGGGGCUAAUACCGGAUAACAUUUUGAACCGCAUGGUUCGAAAUUGAAAGGCGGCUUCGGCUGUCACUUAUGGAUGGACCCGCGUCGCAUUAGCUAGUUGGUGAGGUAACGGCUCACCAAGGCAACGAUGCGUAGCCGACCUGAGAGGGUGAUCGGCCACACUGGGACUGAGACACGGCCCAGACUCCUACGGGAGGCAGCAGUAGGGAAUCUUCCGCAAUGGACGAAAGUCUGACGGAGCAACGCCGCGUGAGUGAUGAAGGCUUUCGGGUCGUAAAACUCUGUUGUUAGGGAAGAACAAGUGCUAGUUGAAUAAGCUGGCACCUUGACGGUACCUAACCAGAAAGCCACGGCUAACUACGUGCCAGCAGCCGCGGUAAUACGUAGGUGGCAAGCGUUAUCCGGAAUUAUUGGGCGUAAAGCGCGCGCAGGUGGUUUCUUAAUCUGAUGUGAAAGCCCACGGCUCAACCGUGGAGGGUCAU